rnacentral:rRNA from 1 species
AGAGUUUGAUCCUGGCUCAGAUUGAACGCUGGCGGCAGGCCUAACACAUGCAAGUCGAGCGGAAACGGCAGCAUUGAAGCUUCGGUGGAUUUGCUGGACGUCGAGCGGCGGACGGGUGAGUAACGGCUGGGAACCUGCCCUGACGAGGGGGAUAACCGUUGGAAACGACGGCUAAUACCGCAUAAUGUCUUAGUUCAUUACGAGCUGGGACCAAAGGUGGCCUCUACAUGUAAGCUAUCGCGUUGGGAUGGGCCCAGUUAGGAUUAGCUAGUUGGUAAGGUAAUGGCUUACCAAGGCGACGAUCCUUAGCUGGUUUGAGAGGAUGAUCAGCCACACUGGGACUGAGACACGGCCCAGACUCCUACGGGAGGCAGCAGUGGGGAAUAUUGCACAAUGGGGGAGACCCUGAUGCAGCCAUGCCGCGUGUGUGAAGAAGGCCUUCGGGUUGUAAAGCACUUUCAGCAGUGAGGAAGGUGGUGUACUUAAUACGUGCACGGCUUGACGUUAGCUGCAGAAGAAGCACCGGCUAACUCCGUGCCAGCAGCCGCGGUAAUACGGAGGGUGCGAGCGUUAAUCGGAAUUACUGGGCGUAAAGCGCAUGCAGGCGGUUUGUUAAGUCAGAUGUGAAAGCCCGGGGCUCAACCUCGGAACCGCAUUUGAAACUGGCAGGCUAGAGUCUUGUAGAGGGGGGUAGAAUUUCAGGUGUAGCGGUGAAAUGCGUAGAGAUCUGAAGGAAUACCAGUGGCGAAGGCGGCCCCCUGGACAAAGACUGACGCUCAGAUGCGAAAGCGUGGGUAGCAAACAGGAUUAGAUACCCUGGUAGUCCACGCCGUAAACGCUGUCUACUUGGAGGUUGAGGUUUAGA